UAAUUUAUUAAUUCUUUGCUGAUAAAAGAAAAGAAUUUUCCUUUACAAGGUAUUCACCAAUUUCACGAUCUUAUAACAAACUUCAAUUUAACGAUCUCUAAUAUAGACACUUCUUGUUAAUAUGUGUGUAGACUGUCUAUGCUGAUGGGUCGUCCAAUAAGACGGCAUGUGGAGUUGGCAUCGUCUUCGAAGGUCCGAACGACCUCAUUCUCGACUCGGCAUUAAAGUUCGAGUUCAAGGCCAUCAACAACCAAGCCGAGUACGAGGUUAUCCUCACUGGUCUAAACUUGGCGUACGACAUGGGACAUGGGAGCUCGUGAAGUAACGUGUAAAAGCGACUCCCAAUUGGUGGUCACCCCGAUCAAGGAAAAGUUUGAAGUGAAGGAACCUUUGUUGCAAAGGUACUACCAUACAGUUUCCAACCUCAUCGCUUAAUUUGAAAGAGUGACGGUGUAGCACAUCCGUAGAGAAGACAACAUGAGGGCCAACGCAUUGUCUCAGCUGGCCUCGACUAAGAAGAAAAACCACUUGUGAGGUUUUGCAGCGGACAAAAGGAAAGGUGUUUGAUGAAGGUUUAAGUGAAUUCAAUCUGUGGAAAAGUGUUUCUAAACAGUGGAAACAGAAUGUAAUCAGUGAAAAGAGAUUAUAAACAGUGGAAAAACAAAAAUUAUAGAAGAAAAAGCAAGAACAAGGUUGAACAACAGAUCAAAAACUGUAAAUUUUGACCUAGCUGGGUGAAGCUUGGCAAUGGGAUCUUGGUGUACUCUGAUCCACCUAAUGCAAUCUAAGUUUGAGAUUGGAUGAAGACACGGAGUGAUAGCGAAAGUGAUUGGAGAUAUGCACCGAAAAUGAGAGGAAAAGGUGACGUUUGGAGCGAGUUUGAGGUGCUAUAAAGAAGAAAGAGGUGUGACCAACUUUCUUAGGGUUUAACUAGGCCAAUAAGGCUCUCUAGCAAGGGAGAUUUGAGAGAGAAUGAGUUUCAAAUUUUGAAUACUUCAUUCGAUAAUGCCAAAUUUGAAUAGAUAAGGUUUGUUUGAGGUAUUUAUAGAUGAAAAGAGUGAGGGUAGCUUGUUACUUAAGCUACCAU
rnacentral:lncRNA from 1 species